rnacentral:rRNA from 1 species
UUGCUAAGUUUGAUGGCGACCGGCGCACGGGUGAGUAACGCGUAUCCAACCUUCCGUUUACUCGGGUAUAGCCUUUCGAAAGAAAGAUUAAUCCCCGAUAGUAUGGUAAUAUUGCAUGAAAAUACCAUUAAAGAUUAAUCGGUAAACGAUGGGGAUGCGUUCCAUUAGGUAGUAGGCGGGGUAACGGCCCACCUAGCCGACGAUGGAUAGGGGUUCUGAGAGGAAGGUCCCCCACAUUGGAACUGAGACACGGUCC